rnacentral:rRNA from 1 species
AUUGAACGCUGGCGGCAGGCUUAACACAUGCAAGUCGAGCGGGGUGAUGGUGCUUGCACUAUCACUUAGCGGCGGACGGGUGAGUAAUGCUUAGGAAUCUGCCUAUUAGUGGGGGACAACAUCUCGAAAGGGAUGCUAAUACCGCAUACGUCCUACGGGAGAAAGCAGGGGAUCACUUGUGACCUUGCGCUAAUAAAUGAGCCUAAGUCGGAUUAGCUAGUUGGUGGGGUAAAGGCCUACCAAGGCGACGAUCUGUAGCGGGUCUGAGAGGAUGAUCCGCCAAACUGGGGCUGAGACACGGCCCAGACUCCUACGGGAGGCAGCAGUGGGGAAUAUUGGACAAUGGGGGGAACCCUGAUCCAGCCAUGCCGCGUGUGUGAAGAAGGCCUUAUGGUUGUAAAGCACUUUAAGCGAGGAGGAGGCUCUUUUGGUUAAUACCCAAGAUGAGUGGACGUUACUCGCAGAAUAAGCACCGGCUAACUCUGUGCCAGCAGCCGCCGUAA